GCCGGGAGCAGUGGCUCACGCCUGUAAUCCAAGUACUUUGGGAGGCUGAGGCAGGUGGAUCGCUUGAGGUCAGGAGUUCAAGACCAGCCUGGACAACAUGGUGAAACCCUGUCUCAACUAAAAAUACAAAAAUUAGCUGGGUGCGGUGGCAUGCACCUGUAAUCUCAGUUACUUGGGAGGCUGAGGCAGGAGAAUGACUUGAACCCAGGAGGAGGAGGAGGUUGUAUCACAGCACUCUAGCCUGGGCAACAGAGUGAGACUCUGUCUC
rnacentral:sRNA from 1 species